CUGUAUCAGACUGAGUACAGAAGCGAAAUGAAAUUGACCGGAAGUAGGAAGUUUGACGUAGUCGGCUACGUACAGACACGAGGAUGUGAGGACGUCAGUGCUCCGUAAUCUGGACAAAAUGACAAGCCACGACAAAAGUCGAAAGUUUGUCUGGUUCUGGAUGAAGGUCCGUGUCGGUCUGUUGCCGUCUGACCUGUAGAAACGCCUCAUUAACAGAACAAACGAGCGCUGUACACUAAUGAGUGAAGAUCCAUUCCUGUGUGUCCUCUAAUAACGGCUGCGGUCAUUAGUGCUCCGCUGAGACUCUUCCUCAUCAUCAUCCUCUUCCUCACGAUCGACAGAAAAAAAAAUAUUUUGCAUUGGGAUUUAGAGUCUCUAAAUGGUUCUUCAUUGAGGAAAGAACAUCAGACUGGUUCAAAACAACAUGAAGCUAUCAUCUCGAGCAGCGGGAGGCCCAUAAGGUACUAGAUCGCCACUGACAAGGAGCUGCUGGGAGUGUGAUGGACUGUGAAAACCCCUGUAGAUCAAUGUGUAGAAAGAGGGAUUGUGGGAUUGCAUCUCUUUACUUUAGGGCCACAAUCAAAAGCAUCAGCUAAAUCCAGCCUGCCAUAUUAACUGGCCGCGAGGACAAGUGAGGCACUUAAUCUGCCAUCCUGAAUCGCGUGCAGACGAGCGGAUGGGUACCAGACUCCUGCCUGGAGCACAAGAGGGUGGAACGGGGCGGUCCUGGUGUCCGGCAGUGGUCGAUACUCACGCCAGGAGGACUGAAGGGUGCACCGCAGGCCGGCCGGCGUUACAGUAUGUGUGAAUGUUUGCAGCUGACCGUAACAAACCGCUGUGGAUCUUUGAGCUGUAGGUGCACUGAUCUUAUGUGAGGACAUGGUGUUGAACAGGAGUGCGAUGAAGCGUGACGACUGCCAAGAGAUGUCUGGAUCUCUGCUUUCUGUGCUUCAAGUAUAAAUGUGACUAAAUCACAUUUUAUUCACAUGUAAUUCAAAAU